rnacentral:tRNA from 1 species
GGCGCGUUGGCCGAGAAGUUAGGCAUGGGUCUGCAAAACCCAUUAGACGGGAGCAUUACCCGUACGCGCCU